CCUGGACUCAAGUGAUCUGCCGUCCUUGGCCUCCCAAAGUGCUGGAAUUACAGGCGUGAGCCACUGCACCUGACCUCCAUUUUCCUCUGGUCUUUCAGAGAGCCCAGGCAGAAGCUAUUAUCAUCAAAGGUAGGUUUAAGAUUAAUGAGUCUCCCCUGCCAGCUGGGUCGCACGUCUCCUGAGGACAUGCUUUGCUGUUUGUGAUCACAGGUGAGUAGAUGAGGGUCUCCCUGUAAGGCUAUGUAAACAUUUACAUAUUUACUCAUAUUCUUCAUUUUCAUCCCAGAAACUAAUUUUUAGCAGAUUUAAAGCAGAUUUUUUAGUCAAUGUUAGAAAACAUUUUUUAAUGUAUGAAAGUGAAAUUCAAUGUAAUUAAUUUAUUAAAUCAUAAUUGAAUUCCUGCUGUUUCCAUCACCGGAAAAUGACUACCACGUUUUCCAUUGUUAUUUGAAAUACUCGUCUUCUUUAUAAAUAUUUUGACAUUUUUUGAAAUGCCAAGAAUAUGCAUGGUGUGUGCCAUGUAGUCAAGAAUUAGUGCUUUUGCUUUGGCAUAAAGCAAAUUUCAGGUGGGGAAAGGAGGCAGUUGAUAAUGCAGAUUUUAAAAAGUAGAAUUAGGCUAAAAUAGUUAUUUUUAUUAACAUAAUCUGCUUCAAGAUAGGGUCCUAACAACUUAAUUUCUCUGCAAGAAAUGUACCCUAAAUGAUUGUGGGUCACUUUUGGAGUUGAAAAUUCUGGCUCCUAAUUAAAUAUGUGUGAUUGAGCAAGUCAGUCUUUUUCUGCCUCAGAGUAUUUAUCUGUAAAAUUAGGAAGUUGCACCAAGAGUCUGAUAAAGCCCCUUCCAGCUCUAAAAGUCAAUGAUUCUAUGAAUGCUCAGCUACAUUCUGUAUCACCAAAAGGUAGAAACGGUAUCUUCUAUUUUUUCCUAACUCCCGAUUUUGCCAUCAUAUGGAAAACAACAAAAAUAAAGGUAAUUAAAAAUAGGAAAGAAAUGGACUUAAAAUUAUGCCAUCUGACGUCUCAGGCAUUUUCAUUUUAUGUUCCAUUCUGGUCCUUGAACAUAUGUAUACAUAAUUUUACAUAGUUCCAAUCAUAAAAUAGGUAAAAUGUUAUAUUUGGCCUACUUCACUUAACAUUAUGUAACUUUAAUAUUAUCAUUAUCACUGAUAAUUAUAGUUUAAAUGGCUACAUGGUACUCCAUUUCAUUGAUGUAUCAUAGUUUACUUUAAAAGUCCCUAUAUUUGGAACUUUAGACUGCUUUCAAUGUUUGAUACCAUAAAGAAGCUACAGCAAAUUUUUUAUUCAUAUGGCUCUUUCUUUUGAAUAACUUUCUAAGAAUAAAUUUCUAGGAGUGUAAUUACUGAAUUAAAGGGAACCUCUUUACCAUUGUUUAUAAGUAUCAGCAAAUGGCUUUCCUGAAAGCUUACACUGAUUUACAUUGUUGCCACCAUAUCUGAGAGUGAUAGUUUAAGCCUCCCCAAAGGUGCGGUAUGAAAUUACUUAAUGUUUUAAUUUACAUUUAUUUGAUUACUGGCAAUCUUGAACAUUUUUUCAUUUGAGAUUGCAUUUUAUCUUAUGUGAAUUGUCUGGUUGUGCCCUUUUCCAUUUAUCUGACUGUGAAACCAUAGGUGAGUCACUUAACCUCUCUGGGGCUUGGUUUUCUCAUCUAUAAGCAGGAUAAUAAUAAUUUCUAUCUCAGAGAUGUUGUAUGGAUUUCUCAAUGUAAAGUGUAUACAAUAGUACUUGAUAUAUGGAGAACCUUUUAAAAAAAGUACUAAUUGUAUUAGAACAUUCCUGAUUUUCAUUACAAUUUAUGAUUUCCUCUGGUCUUUGUAUAAAUGCAUAAUAUCUUUGAUUAACUUAUAAGGCAAAUCUUUAUAUAACAUAGAUGUAAUCAUUUGGUCUGCUGGGUUUGGCUAAGUGUCUUUCUCUGUUGUUUUAAUUUCUGUAUUGGUUUUGCGUGUAUGUUCAGACAUGCACAUAUGAGUGUACGAGUAUGUAUUUUCUCACAAGUCCAGAAACACAGAGUCUAUGCCAAAGGGGCAGCUCAUAAAAAUGCUGACUGCCUGACAGUGCUCAGAAUGGUGCAGUCAUCUCUGUUGAAUAACUGUUCAACCAAAUCGUUUAGAAAAAUAACAAACAAGCAAAAUCAAACCACAUACAUACACACACUCACAAAACCAAAACCAAACCCAAACCAUGCACAUACACACAUGCACAUUACAAACAAAUGUUUUAAGCCAGAGAGAUAAAAGAAAUUGUAAACCAUAUAAAUUAUUUCUCUUUAAGAAUAAUUGAUUUUGUUGUUGUUGUUGAGACUGAGUCUUGUUUUGUCGCCAGGCUGGAGUACAGUGGCGCGAUCUCGGCUCACUGCAACCGCUGCCUCCCGGGUUCAAGCGAUUCCCCUGCCUCAGCCUCCUGAGUAGCUGGGACUACAGGCAUGCACCACCACGCCCAGCUAAUUUUUUGUAUUUUAGUAGAGAUAGGGUUUCACCUUGUUGGCCAGGAUGGUCUCGAUUUUCUGACCUCAUGAUCCGUUCGCCUCGGCCUCCCAAAGUGCCAGGAUUACAGGCAUGAGCCACCGCGCCUGGCCGUAACUGAUUCUUUAUAUAUAAUUGUUGCCUAAUUCCUAGCAUACUGAGAUCCUAUUUAUUUAUUUAUUUAUUUAUUUAUUUAUUUAUUUAUUUAUUUUCUGAGAUCUAAUUUAGACCAUGGAGAAGAAAAACAAAAAGGUGGUAUUAAUAAACUGCUUUGGGGAGUAAAAGAACCUCUUAGAAUCCACGACAUCAUGGAUGGAAGAGAUCCUUAAGGAGGGAAUGAAGCACAGCUCAGAGUGGGAAGGUUAGCAAUGUUCAAGACCAAAGUUAAUCAUCUCUACAUGAGUCAAUUGAAAGAAAAGAAUUAAAAGCAUUAAAAAAAAAACAAUAUGAGUAAUGGGAGGAGCUGAUGAAGCCUGCUGCCCAGAUGAGGAUUGGAAACUAUUUAAACUGGAUAAUACAGUAUGUGUUUUAGCUCUGAGAAAACAGAAGUUGAACUUUUGAGUAGUAAUCAAGGGCACGGUCUCAAAGUAUUUGCAAAUAGUGCUGGUAUGGAGAACAGAUGCCGACAUUAUUGCCAAUGGGAAUCACAAUGUGAUAGUUGGAGUGAGAGACUAAAAGAAACCACAGGGAAUUUUUGCAGAAAGCUUGGCAUUGAACAUGAUUUAUGGUUGAUUUAAGAAGGAGACAAGGAAAAUAAGGCUACAGUGUAUACCAUCUGACUGCUGCGGACCAAGGAUGUAAACAGUUAGCCAUGGCUCUCCAACCUCCUGGAAAUCAGGAUUCUGCUCAUACAGAAAGGCGCCAGAAUGUUUGUCUGAGUUAAGUGCAUACUUCUUUUUUAGUAUCUAAGAAUAGUUAUCCUCCUUUCCUCUCCCAUUACUGCUUGGGUAUCCUUAAAAAUCCUCACCAGCUAUUAAGUAUCAUGGAGUUACGCAAAGAGGUCUGCAGGGAACUUGAUGGCUUCCCAAAGUGGAUCAGAGAACCUCACAGGAGGCCCUAGGCUUGAAAGGAUGAUUGCAGAAAGGAUGACCUACAAGUGGAUGGUCAGAUCUGGCUGCAAAUGGAUGUCUGAAAGAAAACGGGGAUCCUAGGAAACCCAUCACAGCCCUCUAUGAGCUUCAGAAACCAGCAAGCAGUCCCAGCUAAGGUCCCGGUCAGCAGCCAGCAUUGACCACCAGAUGUGUGAAUGAAGAGGCCUUCAGAUGAUUGCAGCCCCUAUUGUUAAGGCAACCCCAACCUCCGAGUCUUCCCAGCAGAGGAUUCAGCUACUAUGGAGUCAAGAUAAGUCAUUCCCACUGUACCCUGUCUGGGGUCCUGACACAUGAAGAUUGGAAGUGGUUUGUCACAUAGCAAUAGUAACUGAAACACUGGGAGAGGGACGUCUUUAAGAGGAGAAAUUAAGUUCCCAAUGAGAUUUUAAAGAUGUACUAAUGAAACAAUCAAGUAGAGAUAUCAAGUAGUUAGUUGGACAUGUGAGCGUAAGCAGACUUCUUGGCUGGAGAUAUACUAAUGGCAAACAGCAUAUGGAUGUCAUUUAAUUUCCCAGGCCUGGGUGAGAUCACCUACAGCAGGAGGUGGACAGAGAAGAGGAGCUGGUUCAAGACCUCAUUCUGAGGAAGCCCAGUAUUUAGAGAGAUGGGUGUCUCGCUAUAUUGCCCAGACUGGUCUC